UUCAGACACCCCAAGCAUGCCAGCAAGCCAGUUUAUACUUGCUGCUGGAGCAUAAUAGUGAGCUUCCGUGAAUACACAAUUGGCUUCCGAAGGACGAAGAGGCGCUGGCGAAGAAGGGGUUGCGAGGGGUUUAAAGUGUGAAUUGCAAACCACCGAAAGAGCCCUGAAAGGUUUCGCUUUGAAAGGCAAAGUGCAAGUAAGAAAAAAGAAACAACCAUGUGAGUGGCAAGACAAACUGUUACUGGCAAGGAAAGUGUUGACGUGAUAUGACCACAUGACUUCAGAUGCCCACACAUCCUUCAAAGCAGAAGAAAUGGCAACGACCCAGACAUGCAACUCCUCUUUGCCCUCUGAACCUACAAAUAAAUGCCUUGAUGCAAACAUCGCUCAUGUGAUGGACAGCACGUCAACAUGGAAUGAGGAGCUGGAAAAUGAGCUUUUAAAAGUUUUGGACAGUUUGGAUAGCCAACUGGCACAAGAACAAUCUCAAGAUACUGUGAAUACAAGAACUCCAAUUAACUAUGGCUCUACAGCACCAAAAAUCCAUCAUCAUUCCACUGUUGUGCAACCAAAUUUCCUUGGAGAAGUACAGAGAAAUGACCAGAACCUGUUUUCCCCAGAUAGAACAAGGACAUUAGGAGCCAGAAAUAAAUACAAAAGUUUCUUCACACCAAGGAGGCUUUAUGAUACCUAUACAAAGCAACAUCACAUAGAAAAAUACCCAUAUGGGGAUUUGUGUGAUGAAAGAUCUUCUUUUUUAAAGAGAGGAUAUUCUGCUUGUUCUCUUGGAUAUUCUUCAGAAGAUAGGUUGGCAUUUCCAUCAGGAUCAUACAGUAAUGGAUUUGGUCCUAAGAACUUCAUGUCCAACAAUAAAAUGGGCAGAAGUUACUCUUUGUCUUGCCUUACAAGGCGCUCGUCUUUGAUGUCUGCUGACAUGUUUUCCACUGGUAGCUUACAGCACGAUUCGGAAAGCAAUACGGACUUCACAAAAUUCAAUUUCCAGCAUCAGUCCAGACGGAUUCCUCUUUCAUCUAUUAUAUGGAAUAUACCACAGUCUUCUAGGCAUUCACUACAUUCAGACAGACUUCGUAGAACACAGUCAUUAAUAGAAUUUAACUCAGCGUUCGAGGACUCCCAUCCUUGUUCUCCAGAGGAAAAUACAAGGUAUAAAUUUUAUAGGUCAAAAAUGAAUUAUAGACAAGUAAUACCAAAUAAGAGCCAUCCUUUAUUCACUGAGAGACGAAUAGACCCUCUGUGUUUCAACAGUCGGGAGAAUUUUAUGUUACAUCCAUUGAAAAAUGUUUCAAAGCCAUGUUACAGAUACCCAUCAUUUCAUGGUAAAAUGAAUCGGUCCCCAAACAAUUUUCCUUUUGGAAGAACAGAGGAGUAUCCUUUUAGACGUGAUAAUCAUCAGUAUUUCAGUGAUGCUAACCAUGUCCCUGAUGUAAACUUUGAACAGCUGAUUGAGCGGCGAAGUGACUAUGGAAAAAAAAGAGACGUAUGGCAUAAUGAACAUAUGCAUGACCAUGUUUCAGAAUACACAAAGAGUAGGGACCAUCAAGGAAGAGCAAUUAACAAAUUGCUUGUAAAGGAUUCAAGAGGCAUGCAAAAAGGUGCAACUUAUGUCUCAACUGCUUUGGAGAACCAAACUGAAUAUGUCGAACCAAGUCAAAGUCAUUUUAGUGGGGAUAGUCAAGUUCCUUCAAAGACAUCUGUUAAACCCUUUCAAACCAAGAAGGGCUCAAAAAUGAGUGGCAUGGAAGAGAUGAUUGGUGCUGAUCAGUCAGAUAAAGUGGAUAGUAUGGACAUAAAAAAGCCAACAUUAAUUCAAGCAUUUGGACAAAUAAAAACAAACAAUCCAACAGAAUCUCAGAUGUCUCCUCCUACAGUCUCUUCUCAAGCUGCCCCUCCUAUGAGCAGAUCUCUCCAUCCACCUUUUAUAUUAAAUUCAAAAAGGCAAGCCAAGGCAAAUCCCUUAAGGCGCAUUGAAAACAUUUGUUUAUCAAAUAUUCACAGUAAAAAUGGCCAAAGAAAUGAAGUCAACAGUACUGAAAGCAACGGUGUAAAGCAAGCAUGUCCCCCACACCUUAUUGCUAAUCCUUCAAAGCUGUCAAUUCUUCAAAAUAACCCUCAAGAGGAGCACCGGUUGGAAACUUUGAAAGCAUUUAACCCGGACAAGAUGUUAAACCCUGUUUUCAUUGAAGACUCCAAAGUACUUCCAAACAAUGAUUUCCCAGUUUCUUAUGCUGAAACACUCCAUAAACCAAAUAGAUUUAUUAGAUAUUCAACUAGUAAUAGUAUUAGUGCCUCACCCAGCAGCAGCCCUCUCAAAUCUCCUAAAACACAUAAGACAUUAUUUCAAAAAUCAGCUAGUAUUGAUGGGAGUGAUCUCUUUAAAAAACGCAUCUCUCCCUCUACAAGGAAGAUCCCUUUCAGAAAUAAGAGGAUGGGGGAGGAUAACUUAGAAGCCCAUGUACCAAGCAGACUUGGGAAUAUUUAUUCAAAUAAGGGAGAUAAAAGCUCUUUGUUCAGCUCAUCCUGCUCAUCCUUAAACAUAUUGUCCAAAGAAAUGGUGGAAGAAAAAAAUAAACAAAUUAAAAAGUAUCACAUGCAUUUAAUUCAAGCUCCUAACUGCCCAUCAGGGAGUACUAAUAUAAUUGGCAGCAAACGGAAAAAAAGAGAUGAGAUGCUUGAUGCAGAGAAAGCAAUUUUUCUUUCUUCUGAAAACGAGGAAACGGGGGCAGAAAAUCCUUUAAAGCAAUAUAAAACCACCAGCAAAUUGACAGUAAGCAUAGAUGAAGAUAAUGUAAAAUACCAUGAAUUGAUUUCGGUUUAUUAUACUUUACCACGGAAACAUUCACAAGCUUUGUGCAAUGCCUUCCGAGUAGAUACCAAAAAGGCAGAUUCAUCCGCGUCCCCAGAAAAAUCGCAGACUCCUCAAAAGCAGUAUGAAGUUCAUGUCGGUAUGACAACUGUAGCUUUCCCACCCAGCUUAGAAAAAGGAGAAAAAGUUAUUUCUCCUGACAAAAUACCUGCUCCUGAUAUACAACAGGAUUCAAAAAAUAUAGGCAAUCCUAUUAAAGUUCUCCAAGUUUCAAAUCCCAUUAUGGAAACAGCAGGUGUUUCUCCAGCACAUUGUUCAAUGAAUAAUAAAAAGGAAAUAGCUGUAUCAGGAGCAGAAGAGCUGGGACUUGCAAUUUCCAAUAGGCCACCUGUGGAUGGUUCUCCAGGUGGCCCCAAACCCAGCAGAAAAGAGGUUGAAACAGUUAGCACCAAUAUUUUGUCCAACCUGCAUGUUGGCAGGCGCUCUUCUCCAUGGACAGACUCCUCAAAGCUUGAUAAAAACUUACGUCUUAACUCACUGAAUUCCAAAAGUACCUCUUUGGGGGAUAUUUCUGCAGUUUCUUCUGCAAUAAAUGGUCAUAAAGGGGGUCCUGGCUAUAGACAGCCAUCUGCUGAAGCAUCAGCAAGCAUUCCUCCUUCCAAUUUAAUUGACGUUAUCCAGGACGGAAAACCCACUGCAUGUCCAGAAGUUGGCACUCGAGUAAAUGUCACUAAAGAAAAAAUUAGAAAUGCUGCAGAAAUCAAAGAAAGGGCUCGUUAUAUAUGUCGCAUUAUUUCUGAAAGGGGACAUCGGUUUCCACCGAGAAAUGAAAGUGUCAGAAGUGAAACAUCCAUUUCAACAAGCAAGAUGCAUUCAGCUUCCCAGAAUUUAACGGUGCCAGGGGAUGCUGCUUUUUCAGCUAAUGUGGUCAUUCAUCCAAAAGGGAAUGUGGUAGAAUGUUCAAAGCCUGAAGAGCAGGAGAUGCCUCAAAGUCCUGCACUCCGCAAAGUUGGCACAAAUUUACAGAGGUCUGAAAGAGUCUGUGUGGACAAUGAGAACCUUAGCUCUAAAGGUAAGCCAUCAGGUCCUACCCAGGACUUGCCAGAGCAUUUACUACCUGAAAGUAAGCUUGCCCUGGAUAGCCUUAAAAAUAAAGUUAAUGACAUAGAAAAAAGGAAAAAUAGGCCUUCAGUUAAAAACAAACUAGCAGCCAUGUGCAGAACAAGUCGAAAGUUUUCUAAUAGGAAAAGCUCAAGUCCCAAACCACACGUAAGUUGCAUAUUUUCACAAAAUGAUGCACUUUCAUUAGAGAAAAGCAGCCAUCAUCCCAUGUUGAUUUCACCCAAUGAUUCCCAGCAAACAGGGAAUGAGAAUCAGAAUCAGGUUUCUCUACCUGGUGAAUUUGAUAUUCCAAGGCUGAGUAAAGUUGAAACUAAGAAAUUGCAAACUAAUGAAGAUAGGAGGCCUUUGACUAACUUGUGCAACCAAAAAAGAGAACAUUCUGGGCAAAGUGAUAAAAAUAUGAAGACCAUCCAAAAUUCUACCAUCCUAUUUUCAAAAUCAAUUAUGCCUGUGCUAAACAACAAUUUACAGACAGGUAGCAAAGUUUUAGAAAAUAACAGCCAUCCCAUUUUCUCCAAAUCCGCAGGAAUGGAUGCUUGCCCUCAAAAAAAAGGUCACUGUAAUGUUGGUGAGCUUUCAUCUUUUCCACUUUUGUCUGAUAAACAUGCAUACAUUAAAAACAAUUCAAAAACAAAUAUUUCUCCACUGCAAAAAUUGACUUCUAAAGCAGAAUGUGAUGGUUAUCAAGAUAACGAGCAGUCAGACAUCUUUAAAAAUGUAAACCAAUCCUGUUCCAAGCCAGUUCUAAAUCCCAACAAAACCCAGCGUGAACGACAUUUUUCUGAAUGUUCCUAUACACAAAAACUCCAUGAUUAUUUGCCCCCUAAAAACAAUCUGACACAGUCUGGAUAUAAUCGGAAAAUUAAGUCCUAUUCUGAACUGUUGUCCUGUGAUGAAAAUGAGAACUGGGACACAUACAAGGAGAAUAAAAGGAACUUUGGUUCGCGACCUAUCAUGUACCCCUCAAUUGAAUUUGGUAUUUUUGGAAAAGAACAACAGCAGGCUUUCUUAGAUAACAUAAAGAGGUCACUCACGGAAGGGCGGUUGUGGAAUCCAUGUCUUUUAAAGAACUUCAGGUCCAUUAAAAGGGAAGAUGUGUGUUCCUUAAACGGGUUGGAGCUGUUGAAAUCAAGUGCUACAGAAGAACAGUUCCCAAAUGAACCUUUUGAUUUCCAUGAAGAAGCCUCUGCAUAUUCUUCAGAUUCAGACUCUGAUACCACCACAGAUGAUGAAUAUUAUCUGCAUGAGUAUGAGAAAGAAUCAGAACUAUGAGGAACUCAACAGAUGUAGAAAGCAACUGCCUACUUGCUGACUUGUUGGUUGAUAGCUUAUAAAAGAGUAGGGACUGAAAACUUGAUUAGCUUUCUAUAAAUGCGCUAAUUUGAACUCAGAUACUAAAUGAACAUAUUGCACUAAUCUAGUCUUCCACAAUGCUGGCUUUUCUCAAAUAUGUAGACUGCCAGAAUUCUAACAAAUAUCCCUGGAAUUAGGAUCCACAUAUCUAGGGAAUGCUCAGUUAUAGAAGCUCUGCGGAGAUGUAAUACAUUUGGUUUUAGGGUAGGGUACCGUAUGAACUCAGUAACUGUGGCUUAUAAACUGCGGCGUACUUUUUUGCGUGUUGCUUAAAUCCAACCAAUUGUAGUUUAUUCAAUUAAACCAUGGUGAGAUAAUCUGUAACUUAAGAGUUAUGUAAACCUAGCCAUUACAAUGAUCGGCUCAAAAAUUUGUUUUUAAAUGGUAAAAAAUCACCCCACAUUUGAAUCUCUAAUGGCACUGGAAAGAAUAAAGGAAUUGUCCUACUGGUUCUUAAAUGAGGUUGCCUGCUUUUGCAGAGCAGGAUCUCUUUGUACCAGUUAACUUUGGCACAUAAUCAUAACACGGCUGCUUUCAUCAGCAAUUGAAUGUUUGCAUUCAACACAUCCAUAGCCUUUCUGUGUUUGAACAAAUCUAAAACUUCUACGUGUUAGGGGGAAAAGGGAAGAUUCAGAAUAUGUGUAUAUUUAAUAUCCUAUAUGAGAAUAUAUUCCUUGAAUCGGAAAAUGUGUGUGUUUAUUAGAACUAUUAAAAUGAAAGGAGCUACUUCAAUGAGGUAACUAUCCUUAAGCUUCAAAUCAUGCUGAAGCUAUUGCAAGAGACUCUCUUAUUCAUAACAGUGAAAUUUUAAAAUACUACAUGUUCACUAAUUUCCACUUUAAUUUUUAAAAUUAGCCUAUUAAUAUGAUGUACAAAAUUGGUUAUUCUGAAAUGCUUAAUACUUCGUUAAAGAAGUAUGUGUAUGUACAGAAUGUACAGUAUACUUUAAAAUAUUUGUUUAGUAUGGCAGUUACACUUGAAAGUACUUCUACAGUAUAUAUUUAUAUUUUAAUUCAUGUAAAUGAAACCAUUCUAGUAAGAUUCUAAUUAUCUGUUCAUGUAAAAAUAUGUUCCUUAAAUGUGAAUUAUUUUUUUAAAAAAUCUGUGCAUUAAUUGCGCAUAUAGCCUAAUGAAGCUGUACAGCUUUUUGCAUUAGAAAAAGACUUUGAAACUUGUAAAGCUUUAUUGAAGCUUUUUAAUUGAAAACACUUGUAUGUGACAAGCUCAGAGUGCAGUCAAAAAGUCAUGCACAGGCGUAUGUUUACACGCAUACAAAACUGUUCUUUAAUAUUUUCUUUUUGUGCUUUGCCUUUAUGACUUCAUUCCUUUGUACAUUGUAAAUAAGUUGUUUGUUUUGAGAUUAAUUUUCAGGCCGUAUUAACUUCUGGUGAAUUUUUGUUCUAUGUAUCCAGGCGUUUUAAUAGUACUCUACCUGUACGAACAAAACUGUAAUCCCACUGAGGAGCAAAAUUCCUUCAAUGCAACCUGAUCUCAUUAAUGCAAACAAUUGUUUGCUAUUUGCUCGCACGGGCAGGUACAAUCCCAUUGCAGAGUAACCAGGUUCAGACGGAGAAGGUCAAUCUAUGGCAACUGAACCGCCCAUUCCAAAGUCCAGCUAGAGCAAUGUUACAGGGCUGGAACUGAGGAGCAGAUGAAAUGUCUUAACUCCAGGAUUGGUCCAGUUUAUCCCACAUAAGGAAUUGAAGUCCACAAGUCUUAAAGUUGCCAAGGUUGAGAAUCCCUGGUCUAGAAGAUCUCAGAUUUGGGGAAGUGUUUUAUUAAAUCUGUUAGAAGAUUAGUUAGGACUUUGCUGCAUUUCCUAGUAUUGGUUUUCAGCACAGGUUUGUUAUGCAACAAGCCCCAUCCAAAUUUGGCCAAAAUACCCAAACCAUAGUUUAUUGUUAUUGUUCAAUCACUAUGUCAUGUCCAACUCUUUGUGAAACCAUGGACCAUAGCACACUACAUGGUUCAAUACACUAUCCAUAAUAAUUACAUCUAUCCAUUAAUCCUUGGGAAAGAAGGAUGCAAAAUAUUUUCAGAUUAAUAUUUUCACUGGCAAAGAAAGUAUUGCCUACUGGUACUCACUUAUUAAUGUCUAAAAUAUAACAAUAUUUCAGUCCAUUGGAUAGUCCUAUAUGCCACAACAUUUUUCAAGUAAUGCUGUCUCUUUCAUAUUAAGAAAAACAUUAUUUCAGGAGCCAUAAGUUUGGUCACAUUUCCUCCUUUCAAGUUCAGAGACAGGACUCUAAUUUUGAAAGGGGAAAUUUUACAUUGGGAAACUUUUAUAUUGGUACACCCAGUCUGCAAAUAAACAUAGCAUUUUAGACCAUAACAUAAGCUAGCUAAAAUUUAUUCACUUCAAUUACAAGCAAUAAGUUUGGUGUUAGGUUGGUUGAAGAAUUCAACUGUUACUGCACUGUCUAGCUCAUUUGCAAGAAAUAUUACCUUCUUCCAUAUCCUGUUGAAUUUGAUUUGCCUCUAGUCUAUAUUUCUGUAUUCCAAAUAUUUGCAUCACCAGACACAGGACAAAAAUUAAGUGGCAUUAAAACCUGUAUAUUCAUUUUCACUGUAAAGGCAUAUAAUUGCAUAUACUUUCCAUUCUUUGAUUUCCAUCCAGUUUAAAUUCUGAUUCUCAAGUCAAUGAGUGAUACAAGAGGAAUGCACAGUAUACACAAAGGCAUCUUCUUAGCUGAAUUGGGUCCAGAAAAGAGAAUAAAAUCAACAUUACUACCUUGUAAGAUCUUUUUAACUCUGCAGUGUUUUUCAUGUUUCUCUUUUUGUAAAUGUAUUAUAAAACUAAAAUUAAACAUGUUUUUAAAAAGCAGAAACAUUCUUUGAGUGAGAGAAGGAAGGAAGGAAGGAAGGAAGGAAGGAAGGAAGGAAGGAAGGAAGGAAGGAAGGAAGGAAGGAAGGAAGGAAGUUAAAGCAUUUUUCUGGCUAUAAUACAACACUUCAGAUAAAAUACCUCAAGGACAUAUGUGGCAGAAAAAAAUCCUAGUUGGCCUUUAUGUGUAUGCAAAUACUUAUUCCAUACAUUCGUUUAAUUGCUGGUUGAACUUACAUUGCACUUUCCCUCCAAGAGCUGAAGUCUUCGUUUUAUCUCCACAACAAGAACCUUGUAAGGAAAGAUGGCCUGAGAAAGUAUGAUCCAAAGUUUUUCAUAGUUGUGGGUUGGCCUGCUGAACAUUGAAAGAUGAAUGACACACCCGGUCCUCUACCUGUGGAUCCAUAGACACAGCAGAUAUAGUGCUUCCAACUUAGGAUGUCAUCUAUUCAAGCCUUGAAACUUUGCGUGGUGUAACAAGCUAUCAGUUAUCUGUGCAGGAGAACAAAGGACUUGUCUGGGACAACAAACCUGAGUGUAAUUUUUUUAGAGAUAGGGAAAGCCAAGAGGAACAGUGUUUGCUGAUGCAGCUCUCCCUGAACUAACAGAUGCUGGAAUAAGAAAAUAUUUCUACUUCAAAAAAAGGGGGAAGGUUCAGGAGAAAAUUGACUGAUGGGAUCCUUUUUAAAGAAUAAAUACUACGUGAGUUUAGAUGGAACAGCUGCAGGCUGUCAGUUCCCAUACCUGUUAUUGGGUGACAACCUUCUAUUUAAGGAGAAUUCUGAAUACCAUGAGCACUUCUAUAAGGAUCUGGCAUUGUGGAGCUAUUAUAUACCAUGAGUCAACUGAUGAGCCAAAGUCUUUGCUAGAAAAGGUCUUUGGCAGGAAAUCUUUGUCAGAAAAGAAGAGUGAAAUAACAUUGUCUAGCUGUAGACAAUGUUGAAGGAGUCUAAAUUUCUUCUCUCAUCUUUCCUAUGAGAAAAAGGAAGAUGAAACUCCGUCUGAGCAGAUCACAACUGCAAUAUAUCAAAACAGGGAUGAACUGUUCCUAAACUGCAUAGCAAAAGCCUAAGAUUGAAAAUCAGGCUUGUCAGAUGUUAUAUUUUUUCUAUCCUGCUCUAUGAAGUAGAGUUGGUCUCUGACAGAAGGCCACCUGAAGAGACUUGAAGCAUUUGAAAUGUGGAUUUACAG